GAAAUGCGAUACGUAAUGUGAAUUGCAGAAUUCAGUGAAUCAUCAAAAUCUUGAACGCAUAUUGCACUUUUGAGGGGUUAUUCUCUCAAGUACACCUGUUUGAGUGUCAGUAAAACAACUCAACAAAAAACCUUUUGUUGGAUGCUGACAGUCUGUCUUUCGAGUAUAGACAGUCUGUUCAAAUGGUGGUGCCCACAAAACAUGCUGCCUUCCAGCGGUAACCACUGUGGUGUGUUAAUUUGCUCUUGCAAAAAGUCAUCAUCACAGUAGUGUCCCGCAGUAGGAAUGCUGCUUUGUGUGGAACAGCCAACGGAGAGGUGGUAGCCACUGUAAGCCUACCACUUUUGGAAUACCCAUUGACCUCAAAUCAGGUGAGGCUACCCGCUGAAUUUAA
rnacentral:misc_RNA from 1 species